AUUGAAGACGUUUGGCUUUACGCAUUUUAAACUCUUGAACUACUUGUUGUUAAUUUAUAAUUCAUGGAUAAUUCUCGCCCAGGGUGCCUAAAGCAGCUUCUUAAAGCCUCAACCUGCGCCAAAGUUAUCAGUCAGCUUACGAGACUUCGCUACUUUGUUCCACGGACGAAGAGGCCGGGAAAUAGUACAAGAAAAUGGCAGAAGAAGAAAUUAAGAAACAGCUAGAAGAGAAAACUGCCGAGGCAGCCACUUUAAAAGAAGAGCUAUCACAGAAAGCUGCCGAAGUAAUUGGUCUGCAAGAACAAUGCGAUGAAUUAAGGCAAAAAUUGGAGCAGGUCUUGAAGCUGGCAGGAGACAAGAAGGAGGACCUGUUAGCUAAGGUACCAGGUGGUCUUGGCGGUGUGUUGGGUGAUGGAUCCAAAGAGGAAGAAAAACCAGCAGACGCUGCUAAAGAGGUUGCUGGAGAUGCUGCAAACGCCGCCAAAAGUGCGCUCUCGUCCUUUUUUUAAUGAACACAAUUCUAUUGAUUAGCACAACGGCAUAAUAGCCAAUCGAUCUUACAAUUAAUUAACAUUUCUACCUUCCUUUUUUUUUUCUGCUAUUUCACCAUUAUUUCGAACAGAGGUAAAAAAAGUGAAUUUAAUUUUUCAAAGUAGAGACUGAGGGUGGUUAUCCUAGAAUAUGUGUGAGGUUUGGUAUAUACGCUCGUUCAACUGUUUUACUCAAAUAGUCAUUAGAAGGAUUUUCCUCGUGCGAGCAUUAACCUCUUAGAAUGUACCUCAGAAAUUUUUUGCUAGGAGCGUAAAGCAAACUAAAAAUUCUACUCAGAUAGGAUUCUGAAGUCAUGGAUGGCGUUUAUAAUAUUUCUCACCUGCAAAUUAUUUUGACUAAGGUACUAUUUGUUUUAAUAAAGGCAUAAUUUUCUGCAAUGCAAUCAACUGCUGGAGUGCCAGGCUAUCAGUUAAGAUACUCGUAGUUCAACACAAUUUGUUCAUUAAAAGGAAUGUAUCGAGCUUGACUGAA